rnacentral:rRNA from 1 species
UACGACUACAUAUCAGGCAUAUCAAUAAGCGGAGGAAAAGAAACUAACAAGGAUUCCCUUAGUAACGGCGAGUGAAGCGGGAAGAGCUCAAAUUUGAAAUCUUCAAGGUUCUACCUUGACGAAUUGUAGUUUAAAGAAGUGUUUUCUGUUAGAUGAGUAGCAAAAGUUCCUUGGAAUGGGACAUCAUAGAGGGUGAGAAUCCCGUAUUUGGUUAUUCAUUCUAGCUUUGUGAUACACUUUCAAAGAGUCGGAUUGUUUGGGAAUGCAGUCCAAAAUGGGUGGUAAAUUUCAUCUAAAGCUAAAUAUUGGCGAGAGACCGAUAGCGAACAAGUACCGUGAGGGAAAGAUGAAAAGAACUUUGAAAAGAGAGUUAAACAGUACGUGAAAUUGUCAAAAGGGAAGCGUUUGACACCAGUGUUGUUUUUCCGAAAAUCAAUUACGAAUGGCUUGAUUUUGUGUUGUAUUGACCUUAUCAGCUUUCUUCACUUUUUUCGAGUCUUUCUUAAUGCACUUUUCGGUUAACAAGUCAACAUCAAUUUCUUUUGUUGUAAAAGAGUAUUCGGAAGGUGGCUUUCUUUUCGGAGAAAGUGUUUAUAGCCCUAUACUUCUACAAUCGGAGAGAUUGAGGUCUAGCAGCGUAGAUCCUUCGGGGUUAGAUACACUUGUGCUAAGUUGUAGCUUUUCAUAGACAACUUGUUGACUAUGUUUAGUCAUGCGGCUUACUCGCUUGUGCUAUUUUACCUACGCUUAGGAUGUUGAGUAGCGACAUACGCA